rnacentral:rRNA from 1 species
GACGAACGCUGGCGGCGUGCUUAACACAUGCAAGUCGAACGGAAAGGCCCUGCUUUUGUGGGGUGCUCGAGUGGCGAACGGGUGAGUAACACGUGAGUAACCUGCCCUUGACUUUGGGAUAGCUUCAGGAAACUGGGGCUAAUACCGGAUAGGAGCUCCUGCUGCAUGGUGGGGGUUGGAAAGUUUCGGCGGUUGGGGAUGGACUCGCGGCUUAUCAGCUUGUUGGUGGGGUAGUGGCUUACCAAGGCUUUGACGGGUAGCCGGCCUGAGAGGGUGACCGGCCACAUUGGGACUGAGAUACGGCCCAGACUCCUACGGGAGGCAGCAGUGGGGAAUAUUGCACAAUGGGCGGAAGCCUGAUGCAGCAACGCCGCGUGCGGGAUGACGGCCUUCGGGUUGUAAACCGCUUUCGCCUGUGACGAAGCGUGAGUGACGGUAAUGGGUAAAGAAGCACCGGCUAACUACGUGCCAGCAGCCGCGGUGAUACGUAGGGUGCGAGCGUUGUCCGGAUUUAUUGGGCGUAAAGGGCUCGUAGGUGGUUGAUCGCGUCGGAGGUGUAAUCUUGGGGCUUAACCCUGAGCGUGCUUUCGAUACGGGUUGACUUGAGGAAGGUAGGGGAGAAUGGAAUUCCUGGUGGAGCGGUGGAAUGCGCAGAUAUCAGGAGGAACACCAGUGGCGAAGGCGGUUCUCUGGGCCUUUCCUGACGCUGAGGAGCGAAAGCGUGGGGAGCGAACAGGCUUAGAUACCCUGGUAGUCCACGCUGUAAACGGUGGGUACUAGGUGUGGGGUCCAUUCCACGGGUUCCGUGCCGUAGCUAACGCUUUAAGUACCCCGCCUGGGGAGUACGGCCGCAAGGCUAAAACUCAAAGGAAUUGACGGGGCCCCGCACAAGCGGCGGAGCAUGCGGAUUAAUUCGAUGCAACGCGUAGAACCUUACCUGGGUUUGACAUGGAUCGGGAGUGCUCAGAGAUGGGUGUGCCUCUUUUGGGGUCGGUUCACAGGUGGUGCAUGGCUGUCGUCAGCUCGUGUCGUGAGAUGUUGGGUUAAGUCCCGCAACGAGCGCAACCCUUGUUCACUGUUGCCAGCACGUUAUGGUGGGGACUCAGUGGAGACCGCCGGGGUCAACUCGGAGGAAGGUGGGGAUGACGUCAAGUCAUCAUGCCCCUUAUGUCCAGGGCUUCACGCAUGCUACAAUGGCUGGUACAGAGAGUGGCGAGCCUGUGAGGGUGAGCGAAUCUCGGAAAGCCGGUCUCAGUUCGGAUUGGGGUCUGCAACUCGACCUCAUGAAGUCGGAGUCGCUAGUAAUCGCAGAUCAGCAACGCUGCGGUGAAUACGUUCCCGGGGCU